AGAGAUCCACUUCAACGGACGUCUUCCUAUGGCGUGUGCUGUGCACGGCAGAUACACACAGAGCUCAGUCAGAGCACAGUCUUCAAACCGUGCGCAAAGCUGCUCAGGCACGUUAGGGGCACAUCCUCGUCAGUGGCCCCUCAAGGUCACACUGGCAGUCGCAAACCUGGUGGAGAGUGGGUGGUGUGUUGAGGAUGAGGGUUAGGAGCAGCGUUGGGACAGCAGGACAGCAUCCCAAACAACACGACAUCCACACACUGGAUUCAACUUUGAAUUGCAGUGAACUGCUUUGCAAUGGUCAAGACAACACAUAAAGGCGGCUAGGAUUAGGGUUACCUGUGAUGGAAGACUGCAACUGCGACUGAGGACCUCCCUGCUGGAUUCAGCAGUUAAUUGCAGUGAGCUGCUGUGCAGUGGGAGUGACAACACAUCAAACCAGCUACGAUUAGGGUUUGCUGUGGUGGAAGACUGCUACUGCGACUGAGGACGUCCCUGAAGGAUUCAGCAGUGAAUUACAGUCAGCUGUUUUGAAAUGGUCAGAAGAAGGGUGCGCAGGGCCCUCCUCCCUGCUCCUACAUCUUGCCCGGGAUUCCAGGACCGCAGGCCUGGUUCACCUCCAGAAAACGACACCCUCCACGGCCU